AGUGGUCUCUAACCAGACCAGUGGUGCAAACUGUAACCUCAACGCUCAAGAAGCUGCAGCCAGAGGAUUGUGUUUGAGAUUAGCCUUGGCUACACACACAGUAAGAACCUAUCUCAAAAGCACAAAAAGAAGACAAACAAACCCCCCUGACCUUCUCCCUUUAAUUUCCUGUCUCCUGUCUCCAGGGCGGAGGUCCUUUCCAGAAUGUGCAGGUUACUUUGUGAGUGGGUGCCUCUUAGAUCUUGCUGGCUGUAGCUCCUUCCCUUCACUCACACAGGGAGCUGUGUUGGGGCCAGGAAAGUUGCCAGGAAACCUGAAGUCAAAUAGAGGAGAAGAAAGGACUAGAGGCCCUGGGGGCAUGAACAGAUGGCCCAGGAGUCAGCGGUCCACUGUAGGAGCAGAUCACACAGGACCUCCAUGCCAUGGUAAGACUCAGCACGUGUGGAAGGCAGGCUUGGCAGCUGGGAGCCCCUCUGCGAGUUACUCUCGUUGCAUUUGGAGCUGAUGGGUGGCGUGUUGGCCCCUGCAGGGAUGCACUGGAUUUGUCUGAGACAGCAUGGCACUGGGGAUGCGGACAGCUGGUCGUGGCUGGACCGCUGCUGCUGUCUUGGAGGCUGCCUGAUGCCAAGUUUAGCAGCAUUUAUUGUUGCUGGGGGGAGGGGCUCACGCCUCUCUCCAUUAACAGGGUCUACAGAUGUGGCCAAACGUCCCAGGAUGGAGAAGGACAAAAUUACUCUAGUUGAGAGGAACACUGCACUGGCGUCCCACGAAGGCUCCCCUACCGUAGCACCUGGGCCUGUGGUAGGUCAGGAGGCAGCCAGCUGUGCAUUUGGGAGAGCAAAUGUCCCCAGGCAGGAGGGCCAGGUUGCCGCAGAUGCCAGGAGACAACCUUGGGAGUCCUGGCUUUCGAGCUGGGGUGAGGGACUGGUUCUCCCCAGUUGCUGAAGAAAGUCGUUGGAGGGUUGUUGUAAUCAUGGUAGUGAUGGGAUUGAGCCGAAGGAAGAGGGUCAGACACCAUCUUGACUGUGGUGGUGGCUCUGUGGGCAAGCCUCUAUAUCUGAAUCUGUGUUCUUAGCUUUGGCGACUGUACGACAGUUGUUUAUAAAAAUGCAAGAAGCUAGCUGGGCGGCGGUGGCACACGACUUUAAUCCCAGCACUCGGGAGGCAGAGCCAGGUGGAUCUGAGUUCCAGGCCAGCCUGGUCUACAGAGCGAGCUCUAGGACAGGCACCAAAAUUAAACGGAGAAACCCUGUCUCGAAAAACAAAACAAAGCAAACAAACAAACAAAAAUGCAAGAAGCUGGAUGUUACACAGAAUCAGGGCUGUGUCCGCAGAGGAUUGGUGGUAGAGGGGCAGAGAGGGUGUUGUGGGGUGGUGGGAUGCUGACGUGGCCCUAUCAGAGACUCUUGAGAGGCAAACAGUUGGGACUGACAAUGCUGUAUAAGGGCCAGGGCUGGGCUGUGCACGUGGCCUGCUGAGAUUGUCAUCCCAGGUAGUUCCAACUCCAAAGCUUCAUUAGCCGAGAACCAGGAAGGCCAGGAACGGCCAUGGCAAGAGCUCUUCCCUGGUGUGCUCGCUCCAUCACUCUGGACACACAGGGUUGCACCUAAGAGCUUUUAUUUACUUUCACGAUUUACUCCUAUUCAUGGGUGCGUGUGAAUGCUUGCAUGUAUAUAUGAGCACCAUGUGCUUGCCUGGUGCCCUUAGAGGCCAAAAAUGAGUGUCCAUUCCCCUGGGACUGGAGUUACAGAUGAUUGUGAGCUGCCAUGUGGGUGUUGGAAACUGAACCUGGGUUCUCUGAAAGAGCAGCCACUUCUCUUAACUACUAAGCAUUGCUCCAGCCCUACUUAAGAGGUUUCUAAAAUUUGAUUCACCUCAAAAGCAAGACUCAAUUUAAGAAUAUUUAUUUGGGGGCUGAAGAGAUAGGUCAGUGGUUAAGAACACUGGCUGCUCUUCCAGAGGUCCCAGCACCCACAUGGCAGCUCACAACCGCCUGUAAUUCUAGUCUCCUGGGCCCUGACUCCCUCUUCUGGCCUCCUUGGGUACUGCUUGUAUGUGGUGUACAUGUACACAUGCAGGCAAAACACCCAUACAUAUAAAAUUAACAUAAAAAUGUAGCAGGAAUCUUAACAGUUCUUAUUAAUAAAAUCAAACCUGAGGCCAGUUAUUGGGGUGAAUGCUGGAAGAUAAGUUUAUUAGGGUACACAAUAUUUUGGGGAACACAAUACCACCACAUUUCCUCUCUUUUUGUGUAAAAUUUAAAAAAGCUUAUAACUAAUACAAGAAAAACUAUCCAAUAAGUAUAUACAAUAUCUACAGUCAAGAGUUACAUUAACAAUGUCUAGUCCAUUAACAUUUGACAGAUUCAGAUAAAAAACUCCAUUAUAUAUUAACAAUGUCCAGUCCAGUAACAUUUGAUAAACUCAGACAAAAAAUUUCAUUACUUAUCUUAUUUAAAACAAGUAGUUCCUUUUUUAAAGUAUUUUUCUUUUCAUAAUAGAUUCAGUAAUCUACCUUUUGUCAUUUUUAUAUCUUCCCCUUUUUCUUUUUAGUGUAGAUUUAAUUAUCUACCCAUUUAUCUUAUUAUUUCUUUAUCUUUUUUCUCAGAGUAGAUUCAUAUCUAUAUUCUCUUUUUUCUUUUUCCUUUUUUUUUAAAACAAAACCUCUGAAUCUAAUCUCCAUGUUCAGCUUUUUUCCUGACCAUUAACAAUUAACCUAAAAUUUUUCUUUUCAGAAUAACGAUACCUUCGCCCAUACCCAGCAGGAAGCAAUUUUAAGAAUACAACACCCACAUUCCCAAAGAGGUGGGGUGGGGUGGGUGGGUGGUUUUUUGGUCUUUUAAUGGGUUUGGGGUCUGGGAUAAUUUUCAUUGUUUGGGAGGGUUGGUUACAAGUUGUUGGCAAGGGUUAGGAAAAGGGCUAAGCAAAGGAGAUUAGAUUUAAGGUUCUUGUUUAAAAAAAAAGAAAGAAAAGAAAAAGAAAAAGACAAUUACUAGUUUUAAAUACUUUACAUUGGAUUGGAUUUUUUAUAUUGUAUACAAAUUAUAUAUAUUGAGAUUGAUAUUGUUAGAAAAAGCCAUACAUAUAUUUCUAAUCUUGUUCAAGAUAUUGUACUUAUACAGUUCAUUUAACAAUGUAGUGCAAAUUGCUGAUUCUUGAAUGUUAUUAUUACCAACUAUUAGGAUAUAAGAAAUGAAAGUUAGUAGUUACACAUUACAAUAGAACUUGUAGUCAUAUUAGGUAUGUUUUCAAGAUUGAGCAGAUAUAUUUUAGAUAGACAGGUCAUCUUCAAACCCUUCAGAGAUCUACAGAAUAUGGCAUUUAAAAUGUUUUAAUAACUUAGAAAAUUUUUCUUUUUUGUUAUGACUAUGAGAUAUGUUGGCUCCUGGCAGUAUCAAUCUACUUCAGAGAAAAUAUGGGCAUGGAAGAAACUGCAUAUGGAGUUAACUUUCAAUGUGGCAAAAGUUAGCCACUGGACAACAAAGUAUCCUCGAAUCAACUGCUGACAAACAGGACAAAAUGGACAGACAGGACAUGAAACAAAAGACUACCGAUUCUUGCCAAGACAAGUGUGGUUGUGGCUUUAUCAAAAGGCAUCUUCUGAGGCCAGGACAAUAUGGCAUCAUCCCUGAAGUGGCCUUCACAAUCCGGAAAAGGUACAGUGCCCUUUUCUUCGAAGGCAGCUGGACAGGCAAUGGGCCAAUGGCUUCUGAGGUGCAGUGGAACAGCAGCUGAAAUAGUUAUUCUUGAAGAGUAACUAAGCUCACAUCUCUCAAUAGUAGACUGGCAUUUAAUAGAGGGAUGUGGAGAAGAACGGGAUGCUGAGAUAAAGCCACAUACACACAUAGCCAAGAAGAAUGGACAGCUGAAUUCAAAAAACAUCAACAAUUUCCAGAAUUUAAAAUCCUGAAUCAUGACAUGACACUAGUGGAAUUCAGGUGUUUCCGGUACAUGGACUGCUCUAACCCAAUGUGAGGUUGAACUGUUGACCUUGUGUACAUCCUACUUCACAAAUGAGUCUGUCAGAUACGCUAAGCCUAUAGGCUGAAGAUGAUGCCCCAACACUGUGGAGAAACCUUGGGUGACUGUCCAGGCAGCUGGCUGUUUCUGUCAAUUCACGUUUUUUUUGGAAGUUGCUUGUAUGCACUUCCUGUUUUUAUUUUUGUUAGGUAAUAUUAUUUCCUUCUUGUGUCUCUGAGGGAGUUGAAGAUUAGUUAGUUAGAGUUGAAGAUUAGUCAGUUAGAGUUGAAGAUUAGUUAGGAUAGAAAGUGAAUUAAGUACAUUUUGGACUUACCAAAAUAGGAUAGAUAAUGGAAUUAUUUUCUCUGAAUUUGUCAAAUACAAAUGGACUAGACACUGUUUAGGUAUUUAUUGCUUGUAUAUAUGGUAUAUAGUUAUUGUACUUUUGUAUAUAGUUUUUCUUAUAACUUUUUCCUUUUUUCUUUUUAUUAAAAUAGAAAAGGGGAAAUAUGGUGAUAUUUUAAUUGUACUGAAAUGUGAUUUUAUUUGUAUAUUAAUAAAUAAAGUUGCCUGGUGGUCAGAGCUAAUAGCAAGCCAUAGCAGAAGCUGGGCGGUGGUGGUGCACGCCUUUAAUCCCAGCUCUUGGGGGGCAGAGCUAGGUAGAUCUCUGUGUGUUCAAGGAUACAGCCAGCAUGGAGACACAUGCCUUUAAUCUCAAUACCAACCAUAGAAGACCUGGAGGUCUGUACAGACAGGCAGUGAUGAGGAGGUCAUGUGGUUGGGUUUACAACCAAUGAGAAGGCAGAACAGAAAGUCUAUAAGAAGACAGACACACAAGAAGUAGUUCUCUGGCUGAGGAGGACAGCAGCGGCAGUGAAGGGUAAGGAUUUUAGCUCUUAGCUAUUGCUCUGACCUCUUGGGCUUUCAUCUCUGCAUUGGCUCUGUGUUUCUUAUUUAACAAGACGGUUACAUCUACAUAAAAAGGAAAAUAUUUAUUUUAUUUUCUCUCAAUGCCUUGAGCACGCUAGGCAAGUGAUCUAUCUGCUUCUCAAUUGCAUUCCUGCUGGGGUGUGGUGCAUGAGUGUGUGUGUGGUGCAUGAAUGUGUGCAUUUGGGUGUGUGGGAGGGCUGUGAAGCUCAGAGGUCAAUUUUUGGUGUCUCUCUGUUGCCCUCUGUCACUAUCUAGUUUCCUUCUUUUAUGUAGUAUUUUGUGUGUGUGGCUGAGGUGGGGAGGGGCACUUGUGUGGAGGUCAGAAGACUGCAUGGUGGUCUUAGUUGCUUCCUUACACCUUUAUGUGAUCUCCAAAACUGAAUAAUUCUGGUCAUCAGGUUUUGCAGCAAGGUUUGUUUUGUUUUGUUUUGUUUUGUUUUAACCUAAAGAGUCGUUUUGUCAGCCUCCUUCUCCUUAUUUCCAGAGACAGAGUCUCUCACUGAGCCUGGAGCUCACUAAUUCUGCUAGGCUGGCUGACUGGGCAAGUCCCUAGGAUCCCCUGUCUCUGCCACUCAGUGCUGGGAUUACUGGAGCGCACUGCCCCACCCCACUCUUUUAGAUCCAUAUGCAGCUGGAAGAAAUAAAGAAUCUCAACAACUCUCAAGUUUUACUCGAUGGUUACAUCUAUCACUGUACAAUGUCACAACUAGAAGUUGCCACCCAGCCGGUCUGCUGACCUCAUCCAGAUGUUCACAGGUGUGCGUGUAUGUCCCACAGCUGAUGUGACCAUCUCAUCAUUUGUGUACACUGCAGUAUCAGCUCAAGCGCUCAGGACACCAAGCAUUCCACCACCACCAGGAUCUGUCAUGGAGCCAACAGUCGGGCUGCUAGCUGCAUGCCAGUACUAUGGGAAUAAGGCUGGGCCUGGGGAUACACCUGGCAGGAAGCGGCAGACAAAAAGUUGGAACCUAGGUGAUGGCUGGUAGAACUAAUAAAGCUUUGAAACCCUGCGCCCUGUGAAAUGAGACAUGGGACCAGCACACAGGCACUGCUCACAGGCAGACAGGACUGAGAAGCAUGGCUCCUGGCCAAGAGCCCUGGCCCAGUCCUUCUCCAGCCAGCUUCCUUUCAUUGGCCCUGGUGGCCCUCCAGGCUCACCUUGCUCUCAGAUGCUCUUUGACCACACGUGGCUGCUGCAUCAUGCCAUCUAGGUACCUGCUCGGAGGCCAACCCUUAAAAGGGAGUGUACAGUUUGGUUUUGUUGCUUUUUUCUUUCUUCUAUGUCAGGUAUCAUCAGCUUGCCUUUUCAAAGAAGUUAGUUGUUUUUGUUUUAAGAUUUUAUUUAUUUAUUAUGUAUACAGUGCUCUGUCUGCAUGCAUACCUGCAGGCCAGAAGAAGGUGCCAGUUCUUGUUACAGAUGGUUGUGAGCCACCAUGUGGUUGCUGGGAAUUGAACUCAGGACCUCUGGAAGAACAGCCAGUGCUCUUAACCACUGAGCCAUCUUUCCAGUCCAAGAAGUUAGUUUUUAAAACAACCAAAUUCAUUAAAACCUAGGCACCUGGGACUGGAGCCAUGACUCAACAGUUAAGAGCACUGGCUAUUCUUGCAGAGGACCUGGGUUCAACCCCUAGCACCACACAGUGUCUCACAACCAUGCUUAACUCCAGUUCCAGGGGAUCCAACAACUCUGAGCCUCCACAGGCACCAGACAUGUCUGCACAUGGCGAACAAAUACACAUACAGGCAAAACACCCAUACACAAAAUAUUAAGUUUAAAAAUUCAGCCGGGCGGUGGUGGCGCACACCUUUAAUCCCAGUACUCGGGAGGCAGAGCCAGGCGGAUCUCUGUGAGUUCAAGGCCAGCCUGGACUACCAAGUGAGUUCCAGGAAAGGCGCAAAGCUACACAGAGAAAUCCUGUCUUGAAAAACAAAACAAAACAAAACAAAAAAAAAAUUCAAACCAAACGAAAAGCCCAGAUGACUUUGGGGAACCACCCAGAGGCCCACGUACUGCACACAUGGCUACAGGCUGCUCCAUGCGGGCCAUCUGAAUGGGGUUUGUAAGUAAAGUUCUCCUUUACUACCCUGAGCGCCCCUUCACAUGGCUUGGGCAGGGCUGUAAGCUCAGGGCUGUCAGCCCAAGUCAGCUGCCCUGCAACCUUGCAUGUCAGGGUUUUGUUUUGUUUGAGAGGGUCUCUCUAUGUAGCCCUAGCCACCCUGGAACUCUCUAUAUAAACCAAGCUGCCCUCACUCACAGAAAUCUGUCUCUGCCUCCCAGAUGGGAUUAAAGGUGUAUGCCACCGUGCCCAACUACAGUCAACCUCUUAAGGUGAAGCACGUGGGUCCCAACAGUACCCCACUCCAGUGUCCUCAGAGGCUUUUUGAAAGAAGGCAGUGUAACUGCCUACUCAAAGCAGUGUUUUCAGAUGAAAACAUCAGCAGAAUCUAACAUCUGUAUGCAGCUGAACUUAAAAUUUAAGCUUAACCGGGGCUGGGGUGGGUAAAGCACAUGCUGUGCACCCACAAGGACUUGCGGCCAGUUGCCUAGGGCCCAUGUAAAAGAGACACGUCUUGUGAGGAUAAGGAGUGAUGGAGGAACACAUGUGGAGAGAUGCUGGGGGACAAUCUGAGAAACACGGCUCUCUCGAGCAGUUUCGAGGCUGAGCAGCUGCACUCAGGAGAGCACGUAUAUAGUGCCUUACAUGGACAGAAUCCCUCAUACACAGCAACUCUCCCUCCCACUGACCCUCCUAGAUGCUACCCAGAAUCCCACUGGGACCAAAACUCUAGUCAUGGUAGGGCCUCUCUGGUUUGUUUGGGUUCUAGCUCUAAGAAGCUAGAACCAUAAUGUCUCAAAUCUAGAAAUCAUGUCCCAAAUCUAGGAAUCAGCAAGAACACCGUGGAACUUUGCUGAGGAUCAGCAGCUGUAUGUCAGUGGCCUCGCUCAGCACCAGCUCCACUAGUCAUCAGAGGCACAACCCCAUCUUCAUAUCACAUGCCUACAUGUGGUCCGACCUGCCAGGGUCUCAUUCUGCUUCUGUUGCCUUCCAAUGUCAACAAGCACUAUGACAUAUGACAAGGUAGGUUACAGGUGAGCUCAGUGGAUGCUUGGGGGUCUGAUCUGGUAUCUGCGCAAUGAAUUUUGGUUCUGCAGCAAGCAGAGUGGGGAGGGGACUGCUUUGCUGGGGACAAAUAAGCAAGGGGAAGUGGCCUUGUGUGAGGAAGGAAGGUCUGUCGUGCUGGGAGGAGAGCCUGCAUGGCAGGUCUGGGCGGGUGGAGCUGAGAGCACAGCCAGAUGAGUGGGAGCACCUCUACCAGGCCUGAGCACCGUCUAAGUUUAGGCUGACUCCCAAAGGCCACAAGGAGCUUGAGGUCUGUCAGACAGGUCUGUGGGCAGUGAUGGCCAAGAAUGACAAGGGAAUAGAGCAGUUAUUAAAAGGUAAAUAUCAAAACCACUGAAUUUUUUUUUUUAAAAUCAAACACUUUAUUUCCACAUAACAAGCGCAAAAAACUCCCAAACACUUUUAACAAUACAAUUAACGAAGUUAUGAAGUCAGUUAUAUACUACUCAAAGCCCCAAAAGGUCACUCAGCUUAACGUUCCAAAUAUCUCCACACAUGGUUUUUCAAAGCUACCUUUGGUUUUUGGAAAAACCAGUAUGGACGUCAAUACACACCGAACGCAUUGAACAUUUGCUUAGGUUACGGUGUCCGCCAUUAGCUUACAGCAGGCAAGCUGGAGCGUGAUCUGAAGUCAUCCACUGGAAUAGACCCAGUUCUGCCCUUGAGCUCCCGCAGUGAGGAGCAGGGGCACGGCGGUGGCAUCCCCACUGUGUGAGAGGUAUGAGAGGUUAACACUAGGAGGCUGUCGAGUCGCUAAGCUUCAUGUUCCGAAUGGUCCCGCUGAGGCUUGAGAUGGGCACAGGUGGUGGGGAAGAGGUGAAGCCACAGAAGAGCUUUGAGCAACAAGAUCCCAAAGAUGCUCGGGGGAGGAGGGAGCAAGCUACAGCUUCCACUGUUCUCACAUUAUCUCAGGGUGAUUGUGGAGAAGUUCAGGUAAAACGUUCAAAUAUUUGCUUAGAUUUUUAAUCUGCUGCUCUAUGAGAGAACCCUCAUGUGCAGCAACUCUGUAACUUUCAUUAUAAAAUACAAAUAAAUUCACAAAAAAGAGACAAUUAAUGUUGAGCAGCCAAAAAAGUCAUGGUUUAUUAUCUGAAGAUUUCAUAAUUCAAACACAACCAAACUGUACAUUUACAAUCACAUCCUAUUUGUAAACAGUUAAAAGCCACUGACCUCUUUUGCAUCUUAGGACACAAACAGUUAGAAUCAAGGCAAUGAAAUGAUGGCAUAUUCUGUACUGUUAAAAGUUUACCCUUGUUUAGUCUCUCUUCUUUGACUAAGCAAGCAUUAUAAUACCAUUUGUGGGCAAAGAAACAGGAACUGGGAGGAAAGAAAUUUUAAAAUGGUGUAACUCGUUAGUUUGCAACAACAUUUAAAAUUUUUUAUACAACAAACAACUCUGUAAGCCCAAUGUCUUGGUUACAGUGUGCAUAGUUACUGAUCUCGGCUUUAAGGUACAACAGUUAAACAUGAACACGGUCACAAGAGAGCAGAGACAUUAGAGCCACUGAUGGGGUUACAAAAAGUCACCUAGCGAUUAUCAGCAAACCAUCAUCACUCACUAAUAAGGGACAGCAUCUGAAAGCAGACGGCAACUCCAGCUCAAAGCGGUUUGUUUUCUUUUUUUUUUCUUUUUCUUCUUUUGGCAGAGAAAAUUCUUGAACAGAGCAAUACGUAAUAUCAGUGCUAAAAGUCGGGGUUUUCUUUUUUCCUAUAAGAAACUACAAGAUUUUUGACGGGGAACUGGUUUCCUGAGAACCAUGCUCUUUGAUUUAGGACAGGGAUAGAAAACAGAAGAACAUGGCCAAAUGCUGCUCUUUUUCCCAGAGAUAGAAAGCGUCUUUUAAACCACCCUCCUCUUCUUUUUUUUUUUUUUUUGUCUUUUAAAUUUUUUUUAAAUGAUGGAA